UACCAGCACCCCGAGUGGUCGGGACGAUUAUUGGGCCUAAAGCAUCCGUAGCCGGUCAUGCAAGUCUUCCGUUAAAUCCAGCCGCUCAACGGUUGGGCUGCGGAGGAUACUACGUGGCUAGGAGGCGGGAGAGGCAAGCGGUACUCAGUGGGUAGGGGUAAAAUCCUUUGAUCCAUUGAAGACCACCAGUGGCGAAGGCGGCUCGCCAGAACGCGCUCGACGGUGAGGGACGAAAGCUGGGGGAGCAAACCGG
rnacentral:rRNA from 1 species